CCCCGCCACACACACUCCCUUUUGUGCCGCGGGGGGUGGUUAGAUCUGCUCAGCCAUCUUCCGUAGCCUCAACCUUGCCUUCAUCUGGAGUUCCCAUGCCAGCACAUCUGGGAACAGCAAUUGCAGGAAAGUCUUGCUUUAGCCUUCCUUUCCCUGGGGUCAGAAAAAAAAUAUGCUUAGCACAGACAGAAUCCUUGGAAACGCUAUUUAUCAACCUCUACUAAGUAUAUGCAAUCAGAUUUUUUUCUCAAUUAUUUAUAACUUGGCCACAUUUGAGCAUUAUACCCCUCCACACACAAAGAUGCACAACAAAAGGCCUAUCCAUCACGCACAGACUAUACAUUGCCAGGUUUCACUUCCUUGCCUCAAGUCAUCUUCCUGCUAGAGAUUAUUGACAAAACUGUUGUAAUAAUCACUGGUAAAAAGUAUGAUUGGCAAAUAAUGUAUUUUCUGCUGACUUUAUUAUUGGAAACAACUGGACAAUUUAUGCUGACAUUCUUUUGGAAACCAGGCAUGGAAAAUUUCAGCCCCAACAGUUAAAUUUUGGAAGAGUUAUGAACAACUGAAAUGAAGGGUUUCUAAUGGAAAGUGUUUGGCAGCAUGGACUACAAAAAGCCUUAGCUAUUCAGUCUGUAAUUGCUUUUCUCAAUUUGGGAGUUGCAAAUCACCUCCACCCCUAAUUCCCUCAAGAGUCCCAGUCUCUGGUGUGACCCAGGAAUUUUUAUCUUUUGAAAUAAAACAUGCGGAUAAAGGGGUUGAACAGCUUUAGUCUAUAUAGUAUGUGCACAAAAACCACAUAACUGAAAACAUGUACAGAAACAUACGAUAAAAAACAAGUACAAGUGCAUUUUAUGUACAAUGUACAUAGUGACUGUUACGAAAUUUUUCAUCUUAUUUAUAGCUCUUGAACAAAUAGGAAUAGCAAAUAAAGUUAUUUUUCUUACUUCUCCAUCAUAUGUAAUUGGAAUAGUUCAUAACUUCUAGUUACAGAAUCAGUGUAAGGUAUUUACAGUGACACACUGUUGUUCUGUUUUUUUUUUUUUUUAUUUACGUGGGUAGGAUGUGAGAAAGAUGCAGACUGUAGUAUUGUAUUAACAUCAGUCCUGUCCUCAAAUAAAAAUAUGUUCGGGCAAAUAAUUUAUAGAGAGUAUAGGUGGAGUAUUAGGUAAUCAUGGUACAAAUGCUGUUUCUUUGGCUUUGUUCAAAGAAAUCCCAAGUGCAUCAAUACCACAACUUAUUUUAUAAGCUUCUAAUUCUGGUUGAAUGUGCUAAAAAAAACCCCAAAGGGUUCAGUCUUUUGAAGUGUUUCUUCAGCUUCAGGUAAAGACAAUACUUUGUAGAAUCAGACCAGGAAAUCUUUUAACAGCAUGAGGUUAAAAAUGUACGUAUUUUUACAUCUUUGGGAAUUGUCAGUCAUUUUGUACCUGUUUAUUUCACAGUCAGAUUCCAAUUACAACCUGCUGUUAGGAAACCUGGCAAUAGAAGCUGGAAAAUACAGCAUGGAAGACAUUAUUAUAUACUGAGGGAUGACCCAGUGAACUCCUGUGACUGAGAAGAUUACACCAGUAUGUUGCAGAAAACAGAUUUGUGCUAUGAGCACAUUCAUUCUUUGACUGUAUGUGUCAUGGUAAAAUAAAAAAGUCAGUUUGUUAUGAUAGCACAAAAUUGAUUGGACAUGACAAAACUAUGACAGCCACCAUCCUGAGGGAUGUUUUACCGAUGAGCAAUCCAAAUCAGGAGGUAACAAGGCUCUUAUGACAGGAUACAAAAAAGGAACUUGCAUGUUAAAACAAAAUCUCCUUUUUUUCUCCUUUUCUCUUUCUGUUGCUCAUUUUUAAGCCUUUUGGAUGACUUUUCACUGUGUUUCAGUAAUCUUUAAGAAUUCAAACAACUUUUUUAGCCCAAAUGAACAACUUUUAAGAUAGCUAUUUUUCCUAGCAAGACCACAUCCACUCUAAAUAGAAACAGAUUAUUUAGAAUUUAUAAUGUAAUAUUGUUUCUCUGAGUCAUCAUAAUGAAUCCACAUUAGUUUAUUAUCACUUAUGUUCAGCCCCAACGCAUUAUCUAAACGAUGUUAGGUAGCUUGUGUAUCUGGAUGUUAAAGUCUUAAAAAUGUUAGCUGCUCCUCUGAUUUAGAACUUGAAUGGACAAAAUGGUCCUUAUAAUGAGUAUUGGUUUAUGAGGAGAGAGACAAAAUCUUAGGCAAGACAUUAAAACAGCUUAGGACAAUAGAAGCACACUGAAAAACUGUAAAAUCCAAAUGUAUUUCAAGCUGUGUUGAAGCACUUAUGGCAGUACUGACUCCGGUCUGCUCAGAUUUGUGCACCUCU